rnacentral:rRNA from 1 species
UACGUAGGGUGCGAGCAUUGUCCGGAAUUAUUGGGCGUAAAGCGCGCGUAGGCGGCUCUUCAAGUCGGUGGUGAAAGCCCGCAGCUCAACUGCGGAACAGCCUUCGAUACUGUCGAGCUUGAGUGCAGGAGGGGUGAUCGGAACUCCAGGUGUAGCGGUGAAAUGCGUAGAUAUCUGGAGGAACACCGGAGGCGAAGGCGGAUCACUGGACUGCCACUGACGCUGAGGCGCGAAAGCUAGGGGAGCAAACAGG